rnacentral:ncRNA from 18 species
UUCUUAUCAAGAAAGGCAGAGGGAAAUGGCCCUGUGAAGCCUUAGCAACCAUCCGGAACCACCAAACCGGAAAGGUGCUACAUCCAGCCCGCAUAGCGGGAAAGAUAAGUC